CGCAGGUGAGUAACACGUAUCCAACCUGCCGUCUACUCUUGGACAGCCUUCUGAAAGGAAGAUUAAUACAAGAUGGCAUCAUGAGUCCGCAUGUUCACAUGAUUAAAGGUAUUCCGGUAGACGAUGGGGAUGCGUUCCAUUAGAUAGUAGGCGGGGUAACGGCCCACCUAGUCUUCGAUGGAUAGGGGUUCUGAGAGGAAGGUCCCCCACAUUGGAACUGAGACACGGUCCAA
rnacentral:rRNA from 1 species